GCGGCGGGGAGUCCCUCUUAACAACUACGCCAGAAGCGCAGAACGCCCCUUAGCAACCAACUAGGCCGCAAGAUCCUCGGCCUUUCCCAGCCGCCGCGGCCGCCUCCCCCCACCCUUCCGCCGGGAAGGCCGCGCUUACAGGUCGGUGCCGAGCUGGGUGAAGCCGGAGUUGAGGCAGCCACGGGCUAUGCACCUCCAGAGGAGAUCGCGGCUACUGAGGAAGCGCAGGCGGCGGCAGACUUGGCCCAGGCGGCCCAAGGCCUGCGCGUCCAGCACCUGGCACUCGGGUCCGGAUUCUUCGGAGUUGGGGUUAGUCACAUUGCCUGAUCCACGUGUUCACUAGUAACGUGAAUAAUCGAUGGUGAGUACGGUGAUCGCAGGUAACCAGAGCAUCUGCUCCACCACCUGGAGCGACCCCAGUAGACACUACACCCCUUCCUGCGAAGGGCAACUGCAAGGUGAUUAAUGCUCAUUAAUUAUCCUUAAGCAGUCGGGAGUGCCUGUCACCCACAGAGUGACAGCAGGGGUCAUCUGGUGCUGCACAGCAGUUUUCAACACUCCCAAAUUCCUGGGCCACGUAUCCCCACGUAAGAGCAAACCCUGCUACAGUGGAUUUAAGGCUGGCUUUUCACAGGUACCCUUUGGCACAGUCAGUUCCGCUUUCCACGGCUCCAUAUGACGGUCUGAAAAGUGCUCUCACUUCACACAUUUGGGUACAUAAAUACAAGCACACCCUCCCAAAGAACAGUUCAUAAUAACUGAGUCAUUGUUGCCAUCCACAGGAGCCUGGAGUACUGACAGCGCAGAAGGAUUCUGGUCCAAAAUGGCAAAGUAGCCCUCCACAGAAAGUGGAACAGGAAAAUAUGAGUCUAGUGUUGUGUUGUUCUUUCUUAUAGUACUUUCCACUCUACAAAAGCUUGAAAUGUUGGGGGAAAUUUCUCCCUCAAAAUUAAAAAAAAUAGAUAAAUUAUAAGUUCAUCAUCUGCUUAGAAUGCUUUGAACAGGUAUCACCUACCCACCGCAGUCUGCAUCUGCUUUUGUGCAGUGGAGUAGGAAAAUAAAUCUCAGUAUAUAAUGAGGUUACCAUAGCAUACAGGCCUUUAGACAGUACUUGCAUCCUUUCCAGAAGGUCAUCUUGUCUGUGUAAUCUCAAGCACUCAAAUAUUCAUAAAAAUCACCAACUCUGGAAGCUUCAUGUUUGAGAGAUUCAAAACUGCUGGCUGAGGAGCUGUGGUCCAUUUGCACUGAGUUUCAAUACACCCUGGAAAUCAGGGAAGUUCCAGAAGGCAGCAAAUGCUCUAUCACCAUUUAUGAUGAAUGAAUCAGAUGGCCUAAGUAAUUAAAAAUUUCUCAACCUAAAUUUGAGCUCAGGUGAAGCAACAGCACAUCUGGUACAGGACUUAAGUAGCCAACUGGAAGAGAGGCAAUAUAACAAAUUUUGCUUAACAUGAGAUUAUGGAAACUUGGUAUGAAUGCAGUUUUAUAUUAACUUAAUAUCUUUUUGAUGACAUUAAACUCUUUUGUAAUAGACUUCA